UACGUAGGUGGCAAGCGUUGUCCGGAAUUAUUGGGCGUAAGGCGCGCGCAGGCGGCCUCUUAAGUCUGAUGUGAAAGCCCACGGCUCAACCGUGGAGGGUCAUUGGAAACUGGGGAACUUGAGUGCAGAAGAGGAAAGUGGAAUGCCAAGUGUAGCGGUGAAAUGCGUAGAGAUCGGGAGGAAUACCAGUGGCGAAGGCGGCUUUCUGGUCUGUAACUGACGCUGAGGCGCGAAAGCGUGAGGAGCAAACAGG
rnacentral:misc_RNA from 1 species